rnacentral:rRNA from 1 species
AGGGCUGCAGUAUAUUGACUGUACAAAGGUAGCAUAAUCAUUAGUCAUUUAAUUGAUGACUUGUAUGAAGGAUUUGAUGAAAUAUAAACUGUCUCUUAUUUAAUUAUAAAAUUUAAUUUUUUUAUUAAAAAGUUAAAAUAUUUUAAAAAGACGAGAAGACCCUAUAGAGUUUAAUAAAUUAUUAGAUUGAGAUUAUAUGUAAACAAAUUUAAAAUUAAAUUAUUUAUUUUGUUGGGGUGACAAAAAAAUACAUUAAACUUUUUUUUAUUUAAAAACAUUUAUAGGUGAUUAAGUGAUCCAAUAAUAUUGAUUAUGAGAAAAAAUUACCUUAGGGAUAACAGCGUAAUUUUUUUUUUUAGUUCAAAUAAGAAAAAGAGUUUGCGACCUCGAUGUUGGAUUAAGAUAAAAUUUAAA